AACUUAGGUUUUUCCACUUCUUUUUCCGCAAAAACCUUUCCACUCUUCUUUUUCACUGAUCCAUUCCAUUUUCACGAAAAGAAGUGAAAAAAGACAAGACUACGAACAGAGGGAAGCUAAGAUUGAAGUUGCAACAUAUUCAAUUGGUAAUUAGAAGCUUUUCUUUAGAUCUUCCCCCAAACCCCUUUCUAUCAAUCCACACCAGACUAUGAGGAGCUCAAAAAAGGGUCAAAAGCCUGGCUGACUUGGGACAGAUUACUGGAAGGAGCUUAAUCAAUACUGGGUUACGCCAGAGUUUCAAAAGAAGAGCGCCAAGACAAAGGCAGCUCGAAAGUCUAAGAAGGGUGGCUCAUUACACCCUUGUGGUUCAGUGUCCAUGGGGACUGCUCGGAGAAAAUUGGAAGUUUCUCUUGAUAGACCACCCACCCGUCAUGAGGUAUGGAAGAAGACCCAUACGAAAAUCGAAGAUGGAAAAGAAGUUUGGGUCGAGCCAUGGGCAGAGGAUACCUAUGAGGUACUUCCUAGAUUAUCUCCUCGUCUUGGUGUUGAGGCAAACUAGAGCAAUGCUUGAUUUUUGAAUCGAUAUAAUCUGGAGAGGAUGUAGAGGUGAGGUGAUCAGAAGCAUGGAGACGAUGAGGAUCAGGAGAAUAGAGAGCAUCGAGAGGCAGAAAUGGAGUAUUGGGUGUCAAUUGUUAUUUUUUUUUACUUCUGUUAUUUUGGAUUGUUUGAAGUCUAGUGGGAUGCUUUUGAUAUGUGUUUGCAUAAUGUCGAAGUUGUUUGGAUAUGUACGAUGUUUGUUGGCUUAAUUUUAAUGCUUGAAUCAUUUCAGGGUAUUUUUAUUAUUGUUUUGAUGGCUAUUAUUGGCUUUUUUUUUGUUUCUAUUGAAAUCUUUUUUAUAGCAGGUGGUACAGUAAAAAAUAGGUACUGCUUGCCAAAAUAAUACCAGAAAUACUGAGGGACUUACUGAUAGAGUCCCUCGGUAACAAGUGUAAUUGCAAAUCUCAGAUUUUCAGGUUACCGAGGGACAUCCCUCGUUAAUUUUCAAA